rnacentral:rRNA from 1 species
UACGUAGGGGCCUAGCGUUGUCCGGAUUCAUUGGGCGUAAAGGGUGCGUAGGCGGCGCGGUAAGUCGGGUGUGAAAUCUCGGGGCUUAACUCCGAAACUGCAUUCGAUACUGCCGUGCUUGAGGACUGGAGAGGAGACUGGAAUUUACGGUGUAGCGGUGAAAUGCGUAGAUAUCGUAAGGAAGACCAGUGGCGAAGGCGGGUCUCUGGACAGUUCCUGACGCUGAGGCACGAAGGUCAGGGGAGCAAACGGG